AGUGUCCUCUCACAUUAAAUCCAUCUCACCCUUUUGUGCACCACCGCGUGGGCACCCUUCGGGAUCGAACUGGUCCAGGAGGGGGCUUGCGUUUUCACACAAACCCUCAUUUAAAAGUGUAGAAUGACCCCAUUUUUGCGAUAACACGCAAUCAAUACAACUUUCAACAACGGAUCUCUUGGCUCUCGCAUCGAUGAAGAACGCAGCGAAAUGCGAUACGUAAUGUGAAUUGCAGAAUUCAGUGAAUCAUCGAAUCUUUGAACGCACCUUGCGCCCCUUGGUAUUCCGAGGGGCACACCCGUUUGAGUGUCGUGAAUAUCUCAACCUUCUCGGUUUCUUCUGGAUGCCGAAGGAGGCUUGGACUUUGGAGGCCUCUGCUGGCAUCUUUUGAAGGCCAGCUCCUCUCAAAUGAAUUAGCGGGGUCCUCUUUGCCAACCCUCGACAUGUGAUAAGAUGUUUCCAUGUCUUGGUUUAUGGCUCUGUUGCUUUUGGGACCCGCUUCUAAUCGUCUCAAUGACAACGUUUGAGAGCG
rnacentral:rRNA from 1 species